AGUGAACGCUGGCGGUAGGCCUAACACAUGCAAGUCGAACGGCAGCACAGUAAGAGCUUGCUCUUACGGGUGGCGAGUGGCGGACGGGUGAGGAAUACAUCGGAAUCUACUUUUUCGUGGGGGAGAACGUAGGGAAACUUACGCUAAUACCGCAUACGACCUACGGGUGAAAGCAGGGGAUCUUCGGACCUUGCGCGAUUGAAUGAGCCGAUGUCGGAUUAGCUAGUUGGCGGGGUAAAGGCCCACCAAGGCGACGAUCCGUAGCUGGUCUGAGAGGAUGAUCAGCCACACUGGAACUGAGACACGGUCCAGACUCCUACGGGAGGCAGCAGUGGGGAAUAUUGGACAAUGGGCGAAAGCCUGAUCCAGCCAUACCGCGUGUGUGAAGAAGGCCUUCGGGUUGUAAAGCCCUUUUGUUGGGAAAGAAAAGCAGCAGGUUAAUACCCCGCUGUUCUGACGGUACCCAAAGAAUAAGCACCGGCUAACUUCGUG
rnacentral:rRNA from 1 species